AGGUCAGAGAGCCUCAGCUCAUCCUGCCACAAUCCCCUGGUGAAAGACUCAGGGGUACUUUAGUCCAGAGCAAGAGGGUCGGGCGCUACUUAAGGAAACCGUGCAGAAGGCAGGGGUUGGGCUCAAACUGAGAAGGGUCUUAACAGAGAGAGUUUUGUCUUCUGCCGCUAAAACCAGCUCUUAUCAGCAGAAUUUCCUCACUGAGUUCGACAGCUCUGAACUUGAGGACAAGGGACCACUUCCAUUCUGAAGUUACCUAGGCGUGCUUCACUGCCGUAGACCCAAGAACUCUAAAGGUCCGGUACUGUAUAUGACUUCACAGUGGUAUCCUACAGAGGGGUGAUUGAUGACAUCUUGAAGUCCUCAUCUUCUCCAGAUGCCUGUGUUUGUGUUCAUUUGGAGAUAGGGUUUAACCAUAGAGGACAUGCUGGCCUUGAAGCCAUGAUUCUUCUGGCCCACUAAGGAGAUAACUGGUCUUAUACAUUCACCCUAUGCACAGACGUUUUAGAGACUGCCUGUGAGGCCUUGAAGAUAACUACUACCCAUGUCAUUGAACACAGAGAAACCAAACUUGUUCCUACCAGGAGUCUUCACCCUGUGGAUUAGUGUUCAUGGUACUGUAUGGUGAUCUGUGUGCUACCGAAGGAGAAACAUAAACACCAAUCCAGCUACAAACUCUCCUGUCUAACAUAGUGAACCACUUGCAAUCUGCGGUAGUGGGAUAGUGGCACAGGGCUUGUGGAACUUUUUGGUCGGAUUUGAGGCGCAUUGAAUUUGGUGGAACCCAACCCCAAGGCUUCACAGGUGGCAAGAACCUAAGAGCAGAGAGCUCAGGGAUCUAGGGGAAACCAAAGAAAUACAGCAAUAAAAUGUCUCCUAACAAUA